UCAAAAUAAGUAAAUAAUCUUAAAAAAAAAAAAAAAAGGCAUGAAAAUCCUUCAUAGUGAAGAACACUGAACCCUGUCAGGAUAGCUACCUUCAUCACUGUUAUUGUUGAUUUUAUUGUUUACGAUACGGAAGCUUUUAUAUUACUGUAAGUUCUUCUUGACAAACUUAGGAAAGAGGAGGCUAAAUUGUUACUAAAUUUAGUUAGCUUUAUGUUUAAAGCAAUGUUUGCCUGGGUGGCUCAGUCGGUUAAGUGUUCGGUUCGAUUUCCGCUCAGGUCGUGAUCUCACAGUUUGUGGAGUCAAGCCCCCCAUCGGGCUCUGUGCUGAUAGUGUGGAACCUGCUUGGGAUUCUCUCUCUCCUGCUGUCUCUGCCCCUACCCUGUUAGCGCACGCUCUCUCUCUCUCCAUCUCUCCAAAAUAAAUAAAAACAUUAGAACUUUAGAAAAAAAUAAUAAAGUAAUGUUUUCCUUGGUUUUGAAUAUUUUUUCAAAAGUUGUUAAAAUGACAAAAGUAUAGAAAGCCCUAAGGGAUUUGCUUAGGGUGACAGCGGACCUGUGGAGCAAACCAUCCACACUGUGCAGUGACUGCCAAGAAGGAAGAACCACACGGAGGGGUCGUAACCCUUAGACCUUGUCAGCCUAAGAGACACUAGUGUUUGAAGGAGCGGUUAGAGAUAGUCCUGACCACAGAGCCCACUUAAGUAACUGAACUUAUGGAUACUCAGAGACUUCUGGCUCUUUGAAGCCACGCUAACAGGAGAUGCACGUGCCCUUCCAUCCACUUAAUUCUCACCGAGCGCCCAUCAAGUGCCUUGCGCCAUCCACAGCUCUUUCCGAGACCCCCGGUGUGUCCACUAGAGGAACUGCUAAAUUUCAUGUACUUCAGGUUUCUCAUGUCUCAAUCUUGGCGCAUCAGUGGCCUUUCUAUGACUAUACAUUACCUGGAGAUCCGAGCAUUGUUUGCCUGAAAUUUAGAGUCGGCUAAGACAUAUUGAGUUGCUCAUCCUUCAAAGGCACCACAUAGCAUCAUAGGGAUGAGCCUCCCAUGUGCCAUUCCAAGAAAGGGGCUGGCAGUCAAAAGAGGUAUGGGAAUGUGGUGGCGGGCAUGCCCGGGUGCCGAGAGAGCUAACCAAGUCUACUCCAGUUAAAGGCACUUUCGAGAUACCUUGUGGCAAGUAUUCUCAUUGGGAACACGUACUCCGACCAAAGAUCACGACUACUUGGUGUGCAUAGAAGUCGUAUUUUUAGAAUGUCAUGAAAAAUGGAGAAGUAUAUGAAAGGCAUUCUAGCUUUAGGAAAUAAUGCUAGUGGGGAUUUUAGAUUAAAGAGGUAAUAAGAUCUGCCUAGCAGAGUGAAGAGAGAUGGUUUAGUAGUGAAAAAUAAGGUUAUCAGACAAGUAAAUGGCAGGCUGGAAAAUAAAAAUGUAUCAUUUGGAUGGCAGGAAGCCAUUGCCUGUUUUUCAAAAAGCGAGAUACUGAAGUUAUCAGACCGUCCGCAUCAUUUCACUUGAAGGCGAGAGGAGCGACCCUGCAGCGUGAGUGGCGAUGGGAGGGACAAAUUGUCGUAGUCCUGCUCCAAGAUUAGGGUCCAAUUUGGGAAUUUAUCUCGGGGGUUAAGGUUCAAGUAUAGAUCAAAUAUAAAAUGAAGAAGCAGACAGUUCUACAAAACCGGAUGCAAGUAACGAAGGACAAAGAGCAGUUGCCGACCAGUCCGUGUCCUGGGGAAGGCAGACACAGUGCUCCGAUGGAGCACGCCGAGUUUGGUGCUGUUGCGCGGCGUGUGGAAUAAGCCCUCUGUUCCCUGUACGUGUGACACGGUGGUGAAGUAUCUGGGUCGUUUACAGUUGGGCGAGGCUUGGUCACAUGUACAAAAGUGCUGUCGUCAACAGAGAAACAUGUGAAUCUUGGGGAGGGGUUCGUUGGGGUGAGUCAUGCAGGAGACCUUCUGCCCCAGGGCCACCCCAGGGCUCCGCUGGGGUCACUUGGGGGAGACACGGGUGACACCCCCCCCCCCCCCGGUCUGGCCCUAAGUCCGGGUGUCACCGCUGCGUAGACUAAUCAAACCCAAAGGCUGAAGAGGAAGAACUAGCUCUCACAGGUGUGAUAGGCCAAGAUUUCAGACCGUCACAAAUCAACAGAGAUGCCCAUUGUAAAUGAGAGGCCCUUGGGGGGCUCCGGGGAAGAGAGGAGGGGGGGAGAGCUCCCGACUCCGCACAUGAAGCAGCAGCAGAAAGAGCCCGUAGAGCGCCACCGCUUUCUCUUCGGCAGGACCCCAGAGGUCCCAGUGGAGGAGGGCACCGUAAUUCUUCACGAUGACCCCCCAGGAUUGCCCGUUGGCUGGCACAGAGCUGAGCGCCUGUGGCUGAGCAGGAGUGGGCAGGGAGGACUUCCCGGGCAGAGUCAGCCCUGUGCUGUCGAGCCUCAUGCCCCCCCCCCCGUCCGCAAGGGCACUCACCUGGCUGCGGUUGAAGGGCCGGGGUCCCCUGUAAUUUCAGCUGUCCCCGCACUUCCGAAGUGCUGGGCCAAGACGCCCUGGUCCUGGUGAAGUGACGGAUGGCAGAGUGGUUUAUGGCAACACGGUAAAUGUUUUGUCCGAAAUCUAGCGGGGAGGUGAGGAAGAUACCCCCGUUACAGAGGGGAGGAGCUACAACGAGGCCCCUGAACCGGGCUUACAUUUUCCUCAGGGGACUCAGACAUUGCACAGGCAAAUUAAAACAAAGAACAACCCGCAAACAAGCCAGUCAAGCGUGGCGCACAGAUAGGUAGUAGGCGUCCUGGAGACAAACGGGGUGGGGUGCAGUUUGCAGGGCGGAAGCUGCCUGGUUUCGGGGCACUGCGCAGGCUCUGGGAUCAUUGGCAAUUGAGCUAAGGUGGGAAGAAUAAGGACUCUAGCCAUGGGUCAGCUGAGGGAAGAGUACUGCAGGAAAAGGGGCCGCCAGUGUGAAGGCAGAAGCAGGAACGGUUGGAAGGAUCUGAGACGGGGAGCAGAAGACCACGUGGCUGCAGCGGCCCGGACAGGAUGUGCCAGAUCGGGGUCGGGCAGCGCGAUGGAAAAGACCUCUCUGACUUCCCCGAGAUGUGAUCCAGGUCUCAAGGGCAGGCUCUGGAGCUGCUGUGGGCUGGGAAGUCAUAUGUGCUUUGAAAUGUCCGCUACUUGAGUGCCCAGCAUCUGGUGGGCCUGGGGUGCUGGGGGCCAGUGAGGAAACUCGACCUUCUGGUGCGCCAUCAGUGGGUGUUCGCGAUGAAUGAGACGCUGCAUUCGCGCUGUCGAGCCCUUGCCAAUGUGCUUGCGUCUCGUAAGAAAAAGCCCAGAGACUUUUCUGGGUGGUCGAGACAGAAGGACAGAUGAGACUCCUACAGACACGAAGAACAAGAAGCCAGCAGAUGUGGCUGCAAGAAGACCUCAGUUGAGCUUGCAGAGCUCAGUUGACUUGCCAGAGCUCCGUGUAGACAAGAAGGAGGUGUGUCAAGAGUGAUGACGGUGGGGAGCUGGGAGAGUGGUCUCGGGUCAGACAGGAAGUUGGAUUUAAUCUGUCAGAUUCUUAUGUUGCAUCGCAGCUGCCAUUUUACGUGUCUUUCACCUGAGUAGUGAACCCGUGUAUUCGUUAAAGGAGAAAUCGUUGGCGGAUGGGUUGAGCUUUGGGGAAUUCUGAUUCUGGAAUGAAACAUUCCCUUUUAAUUGUUGCAUAUACCUUUCUCGUCUUUUUGUCUCCUUGAAGCAUAUUUCUUCUCUUGCUCUUUGAGCGGCCAAAAUGGAUGUGUUGGGUGCGUUGGUUCUGUUCACAGGCCUCUAUUGGAUGCCUGUUGUCACUCUUCAAUGUAACACCACAGCCGUAAUUGAUGGAGAGUUGAGCUGUAAGCUUUUAGGACUAAUUGCAGAGUCUAAACUCAAACAUUUCCUGGAGCUGCCUUUAAAUAAUAAUAAUAAUACCUUGUAUAGGUAUAGUGCUUUACAAUUUACAAAGCACUUCCCCAUGCCUCAUAGCAUUUAAUCUUCACAAGAAACACUGCUUUUUGAAUGCUCAGAUCUUUCCUAAGUGAGAGAUCACGUCGCACAUCCUGAUUUAAUCAUGGUGGGUCGUCAGAAGUUUUUGAUACGAUAACCAUUUAUCGAGCACCGUCUAUGCAUAAAGCACUUUACUAAGGAUACCAAGGGGUAAAUUUCCAGUAAAUAAAUAUCCAGUAAAUAGUACCUGUCCAAUAAAUGUGAUCUUGCUUCCUCAUCACAGUCACUAUUCCAGAGGCUGCUUGCUAAACCAUAAACUGAUAUAAAUAUUGCCAGGCAUUCAUUGUAUUAGAGUUUAAGUUUUUAAAACUAAGGAUUCUGAUACUUCUCUAAACUCCGUGAUUCUUCAGAAAGUCAUUCUAUGGAUUUCAGCUUGCACUUUCUUAAAGAACUUGCACAAUUAACUUGAAUCUCAAAAAAUAUUUCAGACAUCCUGUGUAUUUGAAAAUGCCUAGCCGUCGCAUUCAUGUCCUGAUUAAGAUGAUUAGGGUAGGAUUCUAAGAGUACGACUUGGCCCUCGGCCCCAGAAGGCUUGUUAUCCAGUACAAAAGAAGGCAUAAUCAUCUCUGGGUUCUGCCAGCAGCCUGAUAGGCCACGUGGAGGAGCCUGGGGGACAAAGGACUUCCCAGGAGGGAGCCGUCUGCCUGAGAUGCGGGUAGAACACUGGAUAACACUGGAGCUGAGCCCAGCCCCAGGACUUUAAGCCUGUGUCCAGGAGCCCCCGGAGUGUCCAGGCAUAUGCUCUGGGCCACCGUGGCUCCUCACAGGAUCUCCAAAGAGGAGAAGACCCCCAAACGAUAGGGACCUUCCAAGGCCUUGGGGCAGAGUGGUCUCUCAGAGUGAGUGACCUACCCACCGUCCCUCCUUCCCCAUCGAGGGCGGGGUCAGGCCCAGAGGGCUGGUGUGGCCCACCGGGUCAGCUGGAACUCGGAAGUGGCCCCCAGGUCGUCAUGUCUUCGGCCGUCCUCUUGCUCCUUGUUUGGCACCUGAAUUUUGUUAACUCUAGUGUUGCACGACCUCUCACUCAGCUACUUGUAUAGUCGUGUGGUUGGGGAAUGGGGAGCACAAACCGCAAUGGCCUAUUAUUUUUUAUUAGUGCACUCCCUUCCUGGACACACGGGUUUUUUUAGAAAGUUUUCCCAUGAUACCAUCUUUGUUAAUAACAGCUUCUGUGUAGUUUACAAGGGAGGUCCAUAUCUAGAUUACCAGAUCGUCUCUUGGUUCUUUUGAUAAGGAGCUUAGGCAAUCCCAAACCAAAGAACUCUUUGGGGCAGAUGUGCCGAAUGCUUUCUUUUGACCCAGCAUAUGCAGCUAGCGUCCGAGCCUCCCAUAAAUACUCCAGAGAGGACCACAAUUAGGAGAUGGGGUGGAGCGGGAGUGUGAGCUUAAGUCUAAGUGAUGUUUCCAACUGGGGCUGGCGUCGUGCUUUAAAUAAAAGUAUUUUAUUUCUAAAUAAAA